rnacentral:rRNA from 1 species
AUUGAACGCUGGCGGCAGGCCUAACACAUGCAAGUCGAGCGGUAGCACAGGGAGCUUGCUCCUGGGUGACGAGCGGCGGACGGGUGAGUAAUGUCUGGGAAACUGCCUGAUGGAGGGGGAUAACUACUGGAAACGGUAGCUAAUACCGCAUAACGUCGCAAGACCAAAGAGGGGGACCUUCGGGCCUCUUGCCAUCAGAUGUGCCCAGAUGGGAUUAGCUAGUAGGUGGGGUAACGGCUCACCUAGGCGACGAUCCCUAGCUGGUCUGAGAGGAUGACCAGCCACACUGGAACUGAGACACGGUCCAGACUCCUACGGGAGGCAGCAGUGGGGAAUAUUGCACAAUGGGCGCAAGCCUGAUGCAGCCAUGCCGCGUGUAUGAAGAAGGCCUUCGGGUUGUAAAGUACUUUCAGCGGGGAGGAAGGCGUUGAGGUUAAUAACCUCAGCAAUUGACGUUACCCGCAGAAGAAGCACCGGCUAACUCCGUGCCAGCCGCCGCCGUAAGAC